rnacentral:ncRNA from 12 species
AGUUGACGAGGGCGGAACAGGCAGCCACCACACCCUUUGGGUCUGAAAGAGAUGCAGGAAUGUCGUCCUGCCGGAGCU